GGGCAGGUAGAAUGUGGCUGCUCCGCCUUAAAAACGGAGAGGAAAGUCCGGGCUCCAGAGGAUAGCGUAGUAGGGUAAUGCCUACCCAUCAGGUUUAAGGCCUGGUGAGGAUAAGAGCCACAGAGACGAGCCUUGGCGUAAGCUAAGGGGUGAAACGGGGUAAUCUCUACGCGGAGCAAGGUAACAUAGGAGAUGAGUCCUAUAUUUUUUGGACACGUGCUGGUCCGGCGCGUUUCCCGCUUUGGCGGGAAACAAUCUCGGGUAAACUGCUUGAGCUCCAGAGGUAACUCUGGGGUCGAGAGAAAUAGCCACUUUUCGAUGUGGAUAAUCACAUCAAGACAGAACCCGGCUUAUUCUGCCUGCCCUUAA
rnacentral:RNase_P_RNA from 1 species